AGCGAACGCUGGCGGCAGGCCUAACACAUGCAAGUCGAGCGCCCAGCAAUGGGAGCGGCAGACGGGAUAGUAACACGUGGGAACGUACCUUUCAGUUCGGAACAACCCAGGGAAACUUGGGCUAAUACCGAAUACGUCCGUAAGGAGAAAGAUUUAUCGCUGAAAGAUCGGCCCGCGUCUGAUUAGCUAGUUGGUGAGGUAAUGGCUCACCAAGGCGACGAUCAGUAGCNGGUCUGAGAGGAUGAUCAGCAUCACUGGGACUGAGACACGGCCCAGACUCCUACGGGAGGCAGCAGUGGGGAAUUUUGGACAAUGGGCGCAAGCCUGAUCCAGCCAUGCCGCGUGAGUGAAGAAGGCC
rnacentral:rRNA from 1 species